rnacentral:rRNA from 1 species
CCUACGGGAGGCUGCAGUGGGGAAUAUUGGACAAUGGGCGAAAGCCUGAUCCAGCCAUGCCGCGUGUGUGAAGAAGGCCUUCGGGUUGUAAAGCACUUUCAGUGGGGAAGAAAGCCUUGGGGCUAAUACCCUCGAGGAAGGACAUCACCCACAGAAGAAGCACCGGCUAACUCCGUGCCAGCAGCCGCGGUAAUACGGAGGGUGCGAGCGUUAAUCGGAAUUACUGGGCGUAAAGCGCGCGUAGGCGGUCUGAUAAGCCGGUUGUGAAAGCCCCGGGCUCAACCUGGGAACGGCAUCCGGAACUGUCAGGCUAGAGUGCAGGAGAGGAAGGUAGACUUCCCGGUGUAGCGGUGAAAUGCGUAGAGAUCGGGAGGAAUACCAGUGGCGAAGGCGGCCUUCUGGACUGACACUGACGCUGAGGUGCGAAAGCGUGGGUAGCAAACAGGAUUAGAUACCCGAGUAGUC